CCUACGGGAGGCAGCAGUGGGGAAUUUUGCGCAAUGGGGGAAACCCUGACGCAGCAACGCCGCGUGAGUGAUGAAGGCCUUCGGGUCGUAAAGCUCUGUCAGAGGGAAAGAAGUGAGGGGUGUUAAUACCAUUUCCUCUUGACGGUACCUUCAAAGGAAGCACCGGCUAACUCCGUGCCAGCAGCCGCGGUAAU
rnacentral:rRNA from 1 species